UCCUUUUGAUAAUUUCAGUCUCGAUCCAGGCAAUGUAGGCAGUAGUUCCAAGAAUUUUAAUCAAAAUGUUAACAUUACUUAAUUUGCCUGCUACCACAUCCACACACAGCGUUGGCUACUGUGCUUAUUUAUAGGUACACAUCACUAUGUGCUACAUGUAACAAGUACCAGUAGUCAUGUUUGGAUUCGGUCGUAAUAAUGUCUGAAGUUAUAAAAAGUCGCACAACAGGAUGGUCUCGCGAGACUACUCUUCUGUUGUACACCAUAGGCACGUGCCUCGUCAUGCUGGUGAUAUACGUGGCUUCCAGGGGUUGGAAGAGCUGGACUGCCCCGGAGGAGGUGGAUCUGGGAACCGUCCACGUGGCUCAGCUGCAUGAUAACCGCACUCGAAAAUCGCAUACGGAUUGAUUUAUAUAUAAACUGUUAAACGUACGUA